GCAUCUCCGAACGUCAGAGAUGGAGAGUGAGAGGAGUUUAUGUCGGAAGGAAGUUUUUGUUCACUAUGGAGCAGGAAUUGCAGAGGGCUCAGUGGAAGCAGCGGGCAGAUAGGGAAGCAGCUGGGCCUGAGGUUCAGAAUCGUUGUAUUGGGGGGAGGGGGUGCCUAUUGAGAACCGAGUCUGGAGGGAAAGGUUGGGGAGAGUUAUAUGGAGGGAAGCAGGUUGAGAAACAAAAUAUUUUAGCAGGCACUCCACUGACUCACGGCUGAAAGCAGGGAAAGAUUCAUUUCACAUGAUUGCAAGAAUGGGGGCCUAGGUGAGUAGACCCACCUUUAAAAUUUCAAAGGCAGCGUUUUAUUUCCUUCCCAGAAGCACAAGCCCCUCCUCUGAUUCCUCAUUAAUUGGAUGUUACAAAAGUUACAUGAGUCUCCAGUCCUCAUUACAUAGGCAGUCCCUGCCCCAAAGGAGUUUCCAUUCUAGAAGAGAAGAAGGGGAAAGGUAACAGAGCAAAGAAUAAAAGAGUCUUUUCCAAUCAAAAGGCACCACUCCAGAACACAAGUCAGUCCCUGCCCCCAAGGAGCUUACAUUCUUUUGGAGGAAGAUAACCAACUUCCACCCUUGAUUAUUCCUUGAUGUCCUCAUGGGUCUCAGCCUUCUAAUUUAAGCUUCAUUUCACCAACUUUCCUAACUGUGGAAACCAAAUACCCAUCCAUUUCUCACAAGGUGAUCAGACUGUUCCAAGUCAGUCUCAUGGCAGGACCUACCUCCUGGCUGGACUGACCUGGAGAUGGUAUAAGUUUGGGCAGGAGGCAGAGGUGGUUGCUCACUGCUGGUGAAUACCCUGGAGGAUGAGAGGUGGAAAGGGUCUCAUUACUGGCCUGACCACCUGGACCCGGUUCUGGAGAUGGCCCUGAGGCAUUUUAUUUUGUGUGCAGGAAUAAAUGACCAGUUCCCUGCCAGAUUCAUGGUAUACAUUCAGUACCGUUUUUCUUUUUAAACAGCUUCCUUUUGGGGAAACCCUAGAAGUGAACCACAACCUAAUUUUUCUCUGGGGUCAAGGGUGGAAAGUUUGAUGAAUCAGUGAGGAUGAGAAAAGAAGCCUUCUCAUUAGGGGCCAAGUUUCCCCAGACAGGAAGCCUGGGUCCAAAACAGAAGGGUCCCUUAGUGCAUCAGGAUACAGUGCAUCAUCACCUUGGGAUCCUUGGGACCAUCACUAGUUUCCACAAGGCUAGACUUAUGUGAUUGAGUUGCUUCCCCUGAUAGAAUGAUAUGAGCUACAUAAGCUGCUAUGUACAUCUUAGCUAUUAUUAUUAGUAUUAUCCAAUUCAGGGGUCCUCAAACUAUGGUCCGCGGGCCAGAUGCAGCAGCUGAAGACGUUUGUCCCCCUCACCCAGGGCUAUGAAAUUUCUUUAUUUAAAGGCCCACAAAACAAAGUUUUUAUUUUUACUAUAGUCCGGCCCUCCAACAGUCUGAGGAACAGUGAACUGGCCCCCUAUUUAAAAAGUUUGAGGACCCCUGAAUUCUAACUUAUAUCUCUUCAUCUUUUCCACAAAAAAUCGUAUGAGAUACUUUGUCAAUCGUUUUGCUAAAAUCUAAGUAAAUAUAUUUGAGGUAGCUAGCUGGCUCAAUGGAUUGAGCACUGGGUCUGGAGUCAGGAUAACUUGAGUUCAAAGGCCAUCUAAGCUGUAUGACCUUGGGCAAGUCAAUUAACUCUGCUUGCCUCAAUUUCCUCAUCUGUGAAAGGAGUUGGAGAAGAAAAUGGCAAGCUGCUCCUUUGCCAAGAAAACCCCAAAUUGGGUCAGAAAAAUUAGGACACAAUUGAACAAGUAAUCUACAGAGUUCCCUAUUAGAGCAGUUAAUUUUUUAAAAAAAUUUUUAUCAUUUACAAGCAUUUCAAUAUACAAGGAACAAAAAAAGAGGAUUAUGUAGAAAACUUUGAAUUUCUGUUAUGAAUUUUUAAAAGUGUACAUAAAGUAAUUGAGUUUAUCACCUUGUCCAGAAAUGAAAUGAGGUUAAGGCAUAAUCUGUUCUUGAUGAAGUCUAACUUUGUGACCACCCUUUCCUCUUCUAGAUAAUUAUUGUUUUAAACUUUUCUCCCUUUCUUUGCCCUCCUAGUACAUUAUUAGUGGGAUUCAAUCCUUGUAUGGCCCAUCUCUUCAGCACGAGGUGCUUUGGUGAAAUCGAUAGUAUUUCCAAGAUCUUCCAGAUCAUCCCAUCCUCACCGAAGGAAAUAAAGGGACUCACUGUGGCCUGGUCUUGAGAACCUUGUUGACACAAACUUUCUUUUAAUGGUACUUGCUCAAAUGCUGACUAAAAUUACAGGGGAAACCCACUGGUUUAUUUUGUAGAUGAACAAAAGCUUCCUUUUCUGGAAAAUCAGGUGGACAUCUGCUUUUUUCCAGUUUUCCAAAGAUUAUCAACAGGGGCUCAGCAACAGCAGCAGGUCAAUAGUAGCAGGAGCUCAGCAGUUCAAGUGCAAGGGUAGGCCAUCUUAGUGCUCUGAGUCAUUUAGGCCUCUAAGGCCCCAGAGCAAGAGUGAGCUCAUCAUAGAGACAUCAGAGCUUGGGGAAGAAGCUGUGGACUUGGAGGCAGAAGGGGCCUGGCUUAUUACCCCACUCCCAUCACUAACUAGAUGACUCUGCCCUUCUAGUCAACUGCAAAAACAUUUAGAAAGGUGGCCCAUUAUUAGCUGUGUAAUACACUGGACAGGAUGUUGGCUCUGCAAGUCAGAGGACCUGGGUUCAAAUCCACAUCAGAUGCUGACUGCUGGUGUGACCCUGAAAAAUUAUUUCUUCUCUGAAGCUUUAGUACUCUUGCCAAAGCCUCAGGACUGGUCUCUCUUCUUCCAGUUCUACUCACACACAGCUUUAUUCAUGUCAUGUCCCUGAUUAAAAAUCUUCAAUGCCAUUUUCUAGACUGAGGUAUAUAUUAACGUCUAAACACCUGAGCCUGGCAUUCAAAGUCCUCCUUUCUCUGGUCCCAGCCUUGCCAAUUUCCCUUGAUUCUCCUUCAUGCACUCUGUAUCGUUUCAGGUGGAUUAGUUGACUUCAGUGUGUCAAAUAAUCACCAAACACUUAAGCAUCUAGAUGGAGAAGCAAUUAGAGUGCUGGGCCCAAAGUCAGACCUGAGUUCAAAUUCAGCCUCCAAUAUAAGUUGUGAGAUUUAAGGGAUGGCACUGUGCUGAGCAUUCUGGGUACAAUGAAAAAGACAGACAAUUCCUGCCUUCUAGGAGCUUACAAUCGAAUAAGGGAAGACAACACAUAAAAGGAGGCAGAAAGAGGGAAGAGUGAAAAGGCGGGAUCAUCCCUAGGCAGAUCAUGGCCAACCAUUCUCUUCCUCCUGAGUUCCAGCACCACGUCACCAACUAUCUAUUAUAAAUUCCAAACCAGCUUUGUCCGUAUGCCGUCUCCUACGGAAGCCUUUUCCCGUUACUCAUUCCCCAGCUAAGAGCAGCUCUCCCCCCACCAAAAUACCCUCUAUGUGUUUUGUUCCUAUUUCAAUGCAUACGUAUUGUUUUCUAUGAUCAAAUAUAAUCUCCUUGAGGAUACAGAUGAGCUCACUUUUUAUUAAUAACCUGCUGGCCUUAUUAAUAAACUGAUUACAUCACCCAGAAACCAUGUCUCUUGAACCUUUUUAAUUGUGCAGGUGGUUGGUGACAUUGCUGGUCAAUGUUUUUAACUGCCUCCCAGCUAGAGGGUGACUUACCGUCAGUGACUGGUGAUGGCCCACCAGUGCUUUGCUCCUAAAUAAUGAAUGCAAAUAGCAUUUACGGAGCAACACACUGUGCUGGGGCUCUUGAAUACUUGGUUAAGGAUAAGGAAGCUCAUCCUAAGACAAUGGAGAGCCAUAAGAGGCUUCUGGACCAGAGGAUAAAGUGUGCAAACCUAAUCUGGCCGGGGUAUUGUAGGAUCAAUUGGAGGCAGAGCCCAGAAGUGGGAAGAACCUUAGGUCGGAUUCACUGCAAUGAACCAGGUCAGAAGUGCUGAGGACCUGGACCUGAUGGGAGGAGGAUAGCAGAAAUGAGGAAAGGAAGGGAGAAGCCGCGUGAAUGUGUUCAUCGUGGAACGCUUCAUACUGUUGUUACUUCUGUUUGUGGUAAGGGUUCCGGAUAGACUUUGACCUCUGUAGGAGGCCACCUCCCCUCCGUGCUUAGCACAGUGCUCCCCACACAGCAGUGAUGCGGCUGAUACAGGCAGGCACCAAAGUGGGGGUUCGGUCACGUGAAGGAUUCACAAAGCCAUUCGCUUUGGCAAAAGAAAGAUUUAUUCAGGGAAGAGGUCACAGACAAAAUGAAGGGAUACCACAGACACUGGGAAUGGUAAAUAUGAAACAGUGGAAGAGCAUGUGAAAGACAACUUCCUCAGUGGAACUCACAAUUACUCAGUGGAAAGGGAGCCCCCCGUGAAGUUGGAACAUGUCCUUAGCUGGCAGGCUCAACCCUGAAAGGGACUUAGCCUCCCUAAAAGAGUGAGCUGUAAGGAAAAGUGGGGUUGGGAAGCAUAGUGGAGUCAGGGGAGAUACCAUGUGGAGUGGGGAAA